GGAAGGAUAAAAAAUAGAGAACAACAAAAAACACCUAUAAGCUUACAUCAAAUAUACACAGAAACAAUAGCACAGCCUUUUGUGUUCCCAGAUUGAGAAGGUGCAUAUUCUAAAACUUUAUUAAAUGGUCAUCCAAUGCUCUUGCAGUCAGGUGUUAAACAUGUUUUAUACAUGUUUUCCUUGGCUGUGACUAGACAGAGUCCAACCCAUUAAUGGUUUUGGUUUUUUUUGUGUGCAGUGUAGCUUAUUUAUCUGAUACUGUGUAGCUUAUUUAUCUGAUACUAUGGUAUUGGCUGGCUCUAAUUUUACAUAAUAAAAUGCUUUGCAGAGUGCUGAAUUUGUUACCAUUGAUUUCAGUAGCUUUUAAAGCUUCUGUUUCAAACAAUGCUCUCAUAACAAACAUUUCACGAGCAUGGGGCGUGGACAGAAAGAAUAGGAAAAUCCUGUUGUACCACUUCUCUAUCAUGUGUUAACCAAGGCAGUACUGAAACUAUAUUUUGUAAUUGAGUUAUGUCUAAUCAAUUUUGUUCCUCUCAUGGAAUCUCUAAGUGCAUCUAGAACAUCUAGAACUGUAUUCCU